rnacentral:rRNA from 1 species
CCUACGGGAGGCAGCAGUGGGGAAUAUUGCACAAUGGGGGAAACCCUGAUGCAGCGACGCCGCGUGAAGGAAGAAGUAUUUCGGUAUGUAAACUUCUAUCAGCAGGGAAGAAAAUGACGGUACCUGACUAAGAAGCCCCGGCUAACUACGUGCCAGCAGCCGCGGUAAUACGUAGGGGGCAAGCGUUAUCCGGAUUUACUGGGUGUAAAGGGAGCGUAGGCGGCGAUGCAAGUCAGAAGUGAAAGCCCGGGGCUCAACUCCGGGACUGCUUUUGAAACUGUAUGGCUAGAUUGCAGGAGAGGCAAGUGGAAUUCCUAGUGUAGCGGUGAAAUGCGUAGAUAUUGCGCAGAACUCCGAUUGCGAAGGCAGCAUGCCGGCUCCACACUGACGCUGAGGCACGAAAGCGUGGGUAUCGAACAGGAUUAGAUACCCUUGUAGUC